rnacentral:rRNA from 1 species
GACGAACGCUGGCGGCGUGCUUAACACAUGCAAGUCGAACGGAAAGGCCCUGCUUUUGUGGGGUGCUCGAGUGGCGAACGGGUGAGUAACACGUGAGUAACCUGCCCUUGACUUUGGGAUAACUUCAGGAAACUGGGGCUAAUACCGGAUAGGAGCUCCUGCUGCAUGGUGGGGGUUGGAAAGUUUCGGCGGUUGGGGAUGGACUCGCGGCUUAUCAGCUUGUUGGUGGGGUAGUGGCUUACCAAGGCUUUGACGGGUAGCCGGCCUGAGAGGGUGACCGGCCACAUUGGGACUGAGAUACGGCGCAGAGUGCUACGGGAGGCAGCAGUGGGGAAUAUUGCACAAUGGGCGGAGGCCUGAUGGAGCAGCGCCGGGGGCGGGAUGACGGCCUUCGGGUUGUAAACCGCUUUCGCCUGUGACGAAGCGUGAGUGACGGUAAUGGGUAAAGAAGCACCGGCUAACUACGUG